rnacentral:rRNA from 1 species
UACGGGGGGGGCAAGCGUUGUUCGGAUUUACUGGGCGUAAAGGGCGCGUAGGCGGCGUAACAAGUCACUUGUGAAAUCUCCGGGCUUAACCCGGAGCGGCCAAGUGAUACUGUUGUGCUAGAGUGCGGAAGGGGCUACUGGAAUUCUCGGUGUAGCGGUGAAAUGCGUAGAUAUCGGGAAGAACACCCGUGGCGAAGGCGGUUCUCUGGGACGGUACUGACGCUGAGACGCGAAAGCGUGGGGAGCGAACAGG